GCUUAGUGUGGUGUAGUCGUCUGAGCACCGGACUAGGACUCUGGAGACCAGGGUUCAAUUCCCAGCUCAGCC